UUUUCAGCCUCCGUAGGGCCUCCAAGGGAGUGGGAAAGGCUGUUUUCGCCGUUCCCAGAUACACAGAGAGGAUCUGGAACCAGAAACAGGCAAAGGCAAGAAGAAACAAAUUAGUAAAUAUUUAAUCUGAGUACACCCAGAGUGGUAAAUCCCAGCAGAUCCACCAAGAUGAAUAAAACUUCCUAAUAAGACAGAGAAAAAGAAAUAUCCAUAUGCAAAAGGCCCACCGGGGAUAUUGUGAAAUCCGGCAGCACAGAAAAAUUCCAACUUUACACCUUCAUUCCUCAUUACAAUUUCAUCACGAUCAAUUUAUCUUUCGUCACUGAAAGACUUAAAGUAGGGCCAGCGAAUUUAAAAUAGAUUCAUUAAAAACAUACAGAGCCUUACAUUAAAAGGUAAUUGUUGAAA